rnacentral:rRNA from 1 species
GACGAACGCUGGCGGCGUGCUUAACACAUGCAAGUCGAACGGAAAGGCCCUGCUUUUGUGGGGUGCUCGAGUGGCGAACGGGUGAGUAACACGUGAGUAACCUGCCCUUGACUUUGGGAUAACUUCAGGAAACUGGGGCUAAUACCGGAUAGGAGCUCCUGCUGCAUGGUGGGGGUUGGAAAGUUUCGGCGGUUGGGGAUGGACUCGCGGCUUAUCAGCUUGUUGGUGGGGUAGUGGCUUACCAAGGCUUUGACGGGUAGCCGGCCUGAGAGGGUGACCGGCCACAUUGGGACUGAGAUAAGGCCCAGACUCCUACGGGAGGCAGCAGUGGGGAAUAUUGCACAAUGGGCGGAAGCCUGAUGCAGCAACGCCGCGUGCGGGAUGACGGCCUUCGGGUUGUAAACCGCUUUCGCCUGUGACGAAGCGUGAGUGACGGUAAUGGGUAAAGAAGCACCGGCUAACUAUGUG